rnacentral:rRNA from 1 species
AUUGAACGCUGGCGGCAGGCCUAACACAUGCAAGUCGAGCGGCAGCGGAAAGUAGCUUGCUACUUUGCCGGCGAGCGGCGGACGGGUGAGUAAUGUCUGGGAAACUGCCCGAUGGAGGGGGAUAACUACUGGAAACGGUGGCUAAUACCGCAUAACGUCUUCGGACCAAAGUGGGGGACCUUCGGGCCUCACACCAUCGGAUGUGCCCAGAUGGGAUUAGCUAGUAGGUGGGGUAAUGGCUCACCUAGGCGACGAUCCCUAGCUGGUCUGAGAGGAUGACCAGCAACACUUGAACUGGGACACGGUCCAUACUCCUACGGGAGGCAGCAGUGGGGAAUAUUGCACAAUGGGCGCAAGCCUGAUGCAGCCAUGCCGCGUGUGUGAAGAAGGCCUUCGGGUUGUAAAGCACUUUCAGCGAGGAGGAAGGCAGUCGUGUUAAUAGCGCGACUGAUUGACGUUACUCGCAGAAGAAGCACCGGCUAACUCCGUGCCAGCCGCCGCCGUAA